AUUGAACGCUGGCGGCAUGCCUUACACAUGCAAGUCGAACGGUAACAGGUCUUCGGACGCUGACGAGUGGCGCACGGGUGAGUAAUACAUCGGAACGUGCCCAGUCGUGGGGGAUAACUACUCGAAAGAGUAGCUAAUACCGCAUACGAUCUGAGGAUGAAAGCGGGGGACCUUCGGGUCUCGCGCGAUUGGAGCGGCCGAAGGCAGAUUAGGUAGUUGGUGGGAUAAAAGCUUACCAAGCCGACGAUCUGUAUCUGGUCUGAGAGGACGACCAGCCACACUGGGACUGAGACACGGCCCAGACUCCUACGGGAGGCAGCAGUGGGGAAUUUUGGACAAUGGGCGAAAGCCUGAUCCAGCAAUGCCGCGUGCAGGAUGAAGGCCUUCGGGUUGUAAACUGCUUUUGUACGGAACGAAAAAGCUUCUCCUAAUACGAGAGGCCCAUGACGUUACCGUAAGAAUAAGCACCGGCUAACUACGUGCCAGCAGCCGCCGUAAAAC
rnacentral:rRNA from 1 species